rnacentral:tRNA from 1 species
GCAAGUGUGCUGUAAUGGUAGCCAGGCCAUUCUUAGGAAAUGGUGUUUUAACGACGUAAGAGUUCGAGUCUCUUCACUUGUA